rnacentral:rRNA from 1 species
UCGAGGGGCAGCAGGGGUAGCAAUACUCGCUGGCGACCGGCAAACGGGUGCGGAACACGUACGCAACUUUCCUUCAAGCGAGGAAUAGCCCAGGGAAACUUGGAUUAAUACCUCGUAAUAUUAUGAAGUGGCAUCACUUUAUAAUUAAAGCUCCGGCGCUUGAAGAUGGGCGUGCGCCUGAUUAGGUAGUUGGCGGGGUAACGGCCCACCAAGCCUACGAUCAGUAACUGGUGUGAGAGCACGACCAGUCACACGGGCACUGAGACACGGGCCCGACUCCUACGGGAGGCAGCAGUAAGGAAUAUUGGGCAAUGGACGCAAGUCUGACCCAGCCAUGCCGCGUGGAGGAUGAAGGUCCUCUGGAUUGUAAACUUCUUUUAUCUGGGAAGAAAUCCAUAUUUUCUAAUGUGGUUGACGGUACCAGAUGAAUAAGCACCGGCUAACUCCGUGCCAGCAGCCGCGGUAAUACGGAGGGUGCAAGCGUUAUCCGGAUUCACUGGGUUUAAAGGGUGCGUAGGUGGGCAGGUAAGUCAGUGGUGAAAUCUCCGGGCUUAACUCGGAAACUGCCGUUGAUACUAUCUGUCUUGAAUAUCGUGGAGGUAAGCGGAAUAUGUCAUGUAGCGGUGAAAUGCUUAGA